rnacentral:misc_RNA from 1 species
GAUGAAGAACGUAGCGAAAUGCGAUAAGUAAUGUGAAUUGCAGAAUUCAGUGAAUCAUCGAAUCUUUGAACGCACAUUGCGCCCGCCAGUAUUCUGGCGGGCAUGCCUGUUCGAGCGUCAUUUCAACCAUCAAGCCCCCGGCUUGUGUUGGGGACCUGCGGCUGCCGCAGGCCCUGAAAAGCAGUGGCGGGCUCGCUGUCACACCGAGCGUAGUAGCAUACAUCUCGCUCCGGGCGUGCUGCGGGUUCCGGCCGUUAAACCACCUUCAUAACCCAAGGUUGACCUCGGAUCAGGUAGGAAGACCCGCUGAACUUAAGCAUAUCAAUAAGCGGAGGA